rnacentral:rRNA from 1 species
AUGCAAGUCGAACGAACCUUCGGGUUAGUGGCGGACGGGUGAGUAACGCGUGGGAAUCUGCCCUCAGGAGGGGGAUAACGGCUGGAAACGGCCGCUAAUACCCCAUAUGCCGAGAGGUGAAAUGAAUUUCGCCUGAGGAUGAGCCCGCGUCUGAUUAGCUAGUUGGUGAGGUAAGAGCUCACCAAGGCAUCGAUCAGUAGCUGGUCUGAGAGGAUGAUCAGCCACACUGGGACUGAGACACGGCCCAGACUCCUACGGGAGGCAGCAGUGGGGAAUUUUCCGCAAUGGGCGAAAGCCUGACGGAGCAACGCCGCGUGAGGGAUGAAGGCCUCUGGGCUGUAAACCUCUUUUCUCAAGGAAGAAGAUCUGACGGUACUUGAGGAAUAAGCCACGGCUAAUUCCGUGCCAGCAGCCGCGGUAAUACGGGAGUGGCAAGCGUUAUCCGGAAUUAUUGGGCGUAAAGCGUCCGCAGGCGGCCCUUCAAGUCUGCUGUUAAAACGUGGAGCUUAACUCCAUCAUGGCAGUGGAAACUGUUGGGCUUGAGUGUGGUAGGGGCAGAGGGAAUUCCCGGUGUAGCGGUGAAAUGCGUAGAUAUCGGGAAGAACACCAGUGGCGAAGGCGCUCUGCUGGGCCAUAACUGACGCUCAUGGACGAAAGCCAGGGGAGCGAAAGGGAUUAGAUACCCCUGUAGUCCUGGCCGUAAACGAUGAACACUAGGUGUCGGGGGAAUCGACCCCCUCGGUGUCGUAGCCAACGCGUUAAGUGUUCCGCCUGGGGAGUACGCACGCAAGUGUGAAACUCAAAGGAAUUGACGGGGGCCCGCACAAGCGGUGGAGUAUGUGGUUUAAUUCGAUGCAACGCGAAGAACCUUACCAGGGUUUGACAUCCUGCGAACCUCUUGGAAACGAGAGGGUGCCUUCGGGAACGCAGUGACAGGUGGUGCAUGGCUGUCGUCAGCUCGUGUCGUGAGAUGUUGGGUUAAGUCCCGCAACGAGCGCAACCCACGUCUUUAGUUGCCAGCAUUUAGUUGGGCACUCUAGAGAGACCGCCGGUGAUAAACCGGAGGAAGGUGUGGAUGACGUCAAGUCAUCAUGCCCCUUACAUCCUGGGCUACACACGUACUACAAUGCUACGGACAAAGAGCAGCAAGUUCGCGAGGACAAGCAAAUCUCAUAAACCGUGGCUCAGUUCAGAUCGUAGGCUGCAACUCGCCUACGUGAAGGAGGAAUCGCUAGUAAUCGCAGGUCAGCAUACUGCGGUGAAUACGUUCCCGGGCCUUGUACACACCGCCCGUCACACCAUGGAAGUUGGCCACGCCCGAAGCCGUUACUCCAACCCUUGUGGAGG